GCCUUCGUGGUGUAGUGGUCAGCACGCUCGACGCGUAGUUUGAGAGAUUCGGUGUUCGAGUCCCGACGAAGGCA
rnacentral:tRNA from 1 species